GCGGGGAUGGCAGAGCGGCCAAAUGCGGCAGACUCAAGAUCUGUUCCCUUAGUGGGUACCGGGGUUCAAAUCCUCGUCCCCGCA
rnacentral:tRNA from 1 species